GUGUGUGCGUGUGUGCAUGCGUGUGUGCGUGCGUGCGUGUGUGUGUGUGCGUGUGUGCAUGCGUGUGUGUGUGCAUGUGUGUGUGUGCGUGUGUGUGUGCAUGUGUGUGUGCGUGCGUGUGUGUGUGUGUGUGCAUGCGUGUGUGUGUGAAUGCGUGUGUGUGUGUGUGUGUGUGUGUGCGUGCGUGCGUGCGUGUGUGUGUGUGUGUGGACACAUGUGCAAGCGGAGGUCAGAGGGUGACCGACGUGAAGCUGGUUCUCUCCUUCCACAGUUUCGUGGCUUCCAGGAAUCAAUUCAGGUCACCAGGCUCCAUUCCAGAGCCCCUACCCGUGGGGCCGUCUUGCUGGUCCCAGUGAGAUCCGGUUGGUGUUUGUUUUGUGAGGUAGCAGGACUAGAGUCAUUGAUGAUAAAGGUGGCCCGCUCCGCCUCUGAGAAGUCCACCUGCUUCACCGUGGUCCGGAAGAGCUUGAAGAAGUUGGGCAUGAAGCCCUGGACCAGCUCCAGAUCCCGCUGGACGAAGAUGGCGUCUGCGGUGCUGAUCUCGUCCUUGUUCCACGGCCCCACGAGCUCCCGGGACAGCCGGCGGAGGGCGGGGGCUGUGCCUUUCUCUGGGGAGAAUGCGGAGGCACAGCGUCAGGCUCCCGGCUGAGGCGCUUCCAUUCCCCCAGGGCUCAGUGCGCCGAGGCCUCUGUCUAAUGUGUCCUCUCUCUCUGCUCUUUCCCCUCUUCCUUCUCCCCACCAUGAGCUCACCACGCACCCAUGGGUGGCCUGACUCUCUGUAGUCCAGGCUGGCCUUGAACUCACAGAGAUCUGCCUCCUGAGUGCGGACACCAUGGCCGGCUCCCUUUCUCAUUCUUGUCUCUACCCCCCCCCCCCAGGGUCUCACACUGUAGCCCAGGCUGGUUUCCCACUCGCUCUCCUGCCUUCGCCUCCUGGACCAUCCUCAGCUCUAAAUCGUAACCCUUGUGCAUCGUUUUCCCAGUGCCGGAGCUCCUCAUCUGGAGAGCCUUCUCCAAGGUCAGGUACCGGCUCGCAGGCAGAGGUCCUGAGGUCAGGGCACAGCCACCACAGGGUGGCUCACGCCGGCUAGAAGAGACCUGCUGCCCUCUCCUGGCGGAGGGGGGACGCAGGCAGAGGACGCUGGACGCGCAAUGAUAGUCUUCUCAGUCCUUUCUUAGUUUUUCCCCAGACAGGGUUUCUCUGUAUGGCCCUGGCUGUCCUGGACUCACUCUGUAGACCAGGCUGGCCUCGAGCUCAGAGCUCCGCCUGUCUCUGCCCUCCGAUGUUCACAGGCGUGCGGGCUUCUUGAAUUACAAGCCUCGGCUUGCUCCAUCCCCCUAACCCUCACAACAGCCCCCCUCAGCCUCGCCCGUGCUGGGAUUCCUGCGCAAGCCCCGGCCUGCCUGCUCUUUUAUUUAGUUUUGGGACAGAGCCUGGCUCUAUCCUGGCCUAGAGUGGAGCUUGGUCUCGGCCCAGGCUCCCCUCAGCCCCCCUCAGGCCCCCCUCGUGCAGCGCCAUGAGGGUGUCGUCUGGGAACUCGCGCCCAUGACCCAGUUACAGGCUCUUGGCCUGUGUGGACGGCAGCCGCCUCCCAGAUAGUAAAAAGAGAGUCCAGCUCACUUUAGAGCUCUCUCGUUCCCCUGGCUGUC
rnacentral:lncRNA from 1 species